AGCUGUGGCCUAAGUGGUUAUAGCGUCCGCCUCGGAUGAGGGAGGUCAUGGGAUCAAUCCCUGGCUGAGUCA